CUUAGUUCAGUUCGGUUAGAACGCGGUCCUCCAAAACCGAUGUCGUAGGUUUAAAUCCUACAG
rnacentral:tRNA from 1 species